rnacentral:SRP_RNA from 2 species
GCUGGGUGUGGCAGCUCACACCUGUAAUCUCAGCACUUUGGGAGGCUGAGGCGGGUGGAUCACCUGAGGUCAGGAGUUCGUGACCAGCCUGGCCAACAUGGUGAAACCCCGUCUCUA